rnacentral:misc_RNA from 1 species
AUUCGUUGCUGUCAGGGAGAUGAGAUGUUUGGUGCUUGGCGGCAAAUAUUUGGGAAGGAGGGGUACAAGUAUCAACUUAAUGUGAUAUUAUCCCGCAGCUUCUUGAUAC